rnacentral:misc_RNA from 1 species
GUACAGGUGAAAAAGAUGACGGCGAUCUCCCUCUCCCCUCCCCUCCCUGCCUUGUCUCGUUUUGUUUGUUUUCGUUGUCCAUCUGCGCAGCGUCGCCAGCGACCACCUUUUCGAUCGGCGUGGCACAAUGCUCGCCUGGCGGCGGUACGUAUCAGUCACUCACUCUCUCUUGUCGCGUUGCCUUUCUUUCCCUGCCUUCCUCUCCUUCUAGCUUCCGACGUAUUUUGGUCACUUCUCUGUUGGUGUUGCGUGUGCGUUGGGUGCGAUGUCUCCACCGUGCCGGCCCGUCUUCGUUGGAUGGCUCUUGCGUAACUCUAUUUGCUGUGUAUCGGGCACGGCACCGUCGGCAUCACUGACCGUGCUAGUGACCGCUGAAUCUCAGAACU